rnacentral:rRNA from 1 species
UGAUGCAGCGAUGCCGCGUGGAGGAAGAAGGUUUUCGGAUUGUAAACUCCUUUUAUCAGGGACGAUAAUGACGGUACCUGAAGAAAAAGCUCCGGCUAACUACGUGCCAGCAGCCGCGGUAAUACGUAGGGAGCGAGCGUUGUCCGGAAUUACUGGGUGUAAAGGGAGCGUAGGCGGGAUUGCAAGUCAGAUGUGAAAACUUAGGGCUCAACCUUAAGAUUGCAUUUGAAACUGUAGUUCUUGAGUGAAGUAGAGGUAAGCGGAAUUCCUAGUGUAGCGGUGAAAUGCGUAGAUAUUAGGAGGAACAUCGGUGGCGAAGGCGGCUUACUGGGCUUUUACUGACGCUGAGGCUCGAAAGCGUGGGGAGCAAACAGGAUUAGAUACCCUGGUAGUCCACGCUGUAAACGAUGAUUACUAGGUGUGGGGGGACUGACCCCUUCCGUGCCGCAGUUAACACAAUAAGUAAUCCACCUGGGGAGUACGACCGCAAGGUUGAAACUCAAAGGAAUUGACGGGGGCCCGCACAAGCAGUGGAGUAUGUGGUUUAAUUCGAAGCAACGCGAAGAACCUUACCAGGUCUUGACAUCGUAUGCAUAACCUAGAGAUAGGUGAAAUCCCUUCGGGGACAUAUAGACAGGUGGUGCAUGGUUGUCGUCAGCUCGUGUCGUGAGAUGUUGGGUUAAGUCCCGCAACGAGCGCAACCCUUACCAUUAGUUGCUACGCAAGAGCACUCUAAUGGGACUGCCGUUGACAAAACGGAGGAAGGUGGGGAUGACGUCAAAUCAUCAUGCCCCUUAUGACCUGGGCUACACACGUACUACAAUGGCAAUAGAACAGAGGGAAGCAAUACAGCGAUGUAAAGCAAAACCCGAAAAAUUGUCUCAGUUCGGAUUGCAGGCAGCAACCCGCCUGCAUGAAGUCGGAAUUGCUAGUAAU